AUUGAACGCUGGCGGCAGGCCUAACACAUGCAAGUCGAGCGGAGCGGCGGACGGGUGAGUAAUGCCUAGGAAUCGGCCGGGUAGUGGGGGAAAACGUCGGGAACGGGGGCCUAAUACGGAAUACUACAAAUGGAGCCUGGGUCGGAUUAGCUAGUGGGUGGGGUAAAGGCCUACCAAGGCGACGAUCCGUAACUGGUCUGAGAGGAUGAUCAGUCACACUGGAACUGAGACACGGUCCAGACUCCUACGGGAGGCAGCAGUGGGGAAUAUUGGACAAUGGGCGAAAGCCUGAUCCAGCCAUGCCGCGUGUGUGAAGAAGGUCUUCGGAUUGUAAAGCACUUUAAGUUGGGAGGCGUUACCAACAGAAUAAGCACCGGCUAACUUCGUGCCAGCAGCCGCGGUAAUAC
rnacentral:rRNA from 1 species